rnacentral:misc_RNA from 1 species
GAUGAAGAACGUAGCGAAAUGUGAUAAGUAAUGUGAAUUGCAGAAUUCAGUGAAUCAUCGAAUCUUUGAACGCACAUUGCGCCCGCCAGUAUUCUGGCGGGCAUGCCUGUUCGAGCGUCAUUUCAACCCUCAGGCCCCCAGUGCCUGGUGUUGGGGAUCGGCAGCAGGGCGUCAAGCCCGCCGGCCCCGAAAUCUAGUGGCGGUCUCGCUGUAGUCCUCCUCUGCGUAGUAGCACAACCUCGCAGUUGGAACGCGGCGGUGGCCAUGCCGUUAAACACCCCACUUCUGAAAGUUGACCUCGGAUCAGGUAGGAAUACCCGCUGAACUUAAGCAUAUCAAUAAGCGGAGGA